rnacentral:rRNA from 1 species
AUUGAACGCUGGCGGCAUGCCUUACACAUGCAAGUCGAACGGCAGCACGGGAGCAAUCCUGGUGGCGAGUGGCGAACGGGUGAGUAAUAUAUCGGAACGUGCCCAGUCGUGGGGAUAACGUAGCGAAAGCUACGCUAAUACCGCAUACGAUCUAUGGAUGAAAGCGGGGGAUCGCAAGACCUCGCGCGAUUGGAGCGGCCGAUAUCAGAUUAGGUAGUUGGUGAGGUAAAGGCUCACCAAGCCGACGAUCUGUAGCUGGUCUGAGAGGACGACCAGCCACACUGGGACUGAGACACGGCCCAGACUCCUACGGGAGGCAGCAGUGGGGAAUUUUGGACAAUGGGCGCAAGCCUGAUCCAGCAAUGCCGCGUGCAGGAUGAAGGCCUCGGUUGU